CGGGAGGGGAGUGAAAUAGUUCCUGAAACUGUGUGCCUACAAUCCGUCAGAGCACCUCUUGUGUGUGAUGGCGUGCCUUUUGAAGAAUGAGCCUGCGAGUCAGCGGCAUGUCGCGAGGUUAACCCGUGGUAGGGGUAGUCGUAGCGAAAGCGAAUGCUAAUUGUGUGUUUUUUAGUGGCAUGUCCUGGACCCGAAGCGGGGUGAUCUACCCAUGGCCAGUGUGAAGCAGCUGUAAGAGGUUGUGGAGGCGCGAACCCACGUAGGUUGAAAACUGCGGGGAUGAGCUGUGGGUAGGGGUGAAAGGCCAAUCAAACUCCGUGAUAGCUGGUUCUCCCCGAAAUGCAUUUAGGUGCAGCGUCGCGUUAGUGUGCCGGAGGUAGAGCUACUGGUUGGUUGAGCGGGACUAUCAUCUUAGCAAUGUCAGCCAAACUCCGAAUGCCGGUUUACAUGGUGCGCGGCAGUGAGACUGUGGGGGAUAAGCUUCAUAGUCGAGAGGGAAACAGCCCAGACCGCCGGUUAAGGCCCCUAAGGGUGUGCUAAGUGGAAAAGGAUGUGUAAUCGCGAAGACAGCCAGGAGGUUGGCUUAGAAGCAGCCACCCUUGAAAGAGUGCGUAAUAGCUCACUGGUCGAGUGGUUGCGCGCCGACAAUGUAGUGGGGCUCAAGUACACCGCCGAAACCGCGGCAACAUGUUUUUGUUGGGUAGGGGAGCGUCGUGCAUGGGGUGAAGCGUGAUCGUAAGGGCGCGUGGACUGUGUGCGAGUGAGAAUGCAGGCAUGAGUAACGAAUGAUACGUGAGAAUCGUAUCCGCCGGAUGACUAAGGGUUCCUGGGUCAAGUUCGUCUUCCCAGGGUGAGUCGGGUCCUAAGGCGAGGCCGACAGGCGUAGUCGAUGGUUAACGGGUUGAUAUUCCCGUACCCGUAUACAUGCGACCCAGAGCGAGUCGGUGAUACUAACCACCCAGAGCUCCUGCCAUGGUCAUCUUUGAUGAUCGGGUGGGUGUGAUGCGUGGGGCCUGAUCCGUAGUAGUUCAGUGAUGGGGUGACACAGAGUGGUAGCCACGCC
rnacentral:rRNA from 1 species